AAUAAGCCCUAUCGAAGCUGUCUGGAGUUAGGUACUUCAGAACAGUCAAAAUGAGGCCGAUAUUGAAUCUUUGAUAUUAUGGUCGCAUCGUGCUUUAUCUACGCACCGUGCAUUACCCAUAUCAAAAACAAUA